rnacentral:rRNA from 1 species
UACAGAGGGUGCAAGCGUUAAUCGGAAUUACUGGGCGUAAAGCGUGCGUAGACGGUUACAUAAGUCGGGUGUGAAAGCCCCGGGCUCAACCUGGGAAUGGCAGUGGAGACUGGCAAGCUAGAGUGCGGUAGAGGAUAGUGGAAUUCCCGGUGUAGCGGUGAAAUGCGUAGAGAUCGGGAGGAACACCAGUGGCGAAGGCGGCUAUCUGGACCAGCACUGACACUCAGGCACGAAAGCGUGGGGAGCAAACAGGG